GACGAACGCUGGCGGCGCGCUUAACACAUGCAAGUCGAACGGAAAGGCCUGCUUUCCCUUGUGGAUUGCGGGUACUCGAGUGGCGAACGGGUGAGUAACACGUGAGUGAUCUGCCCCCAACUUGGGUAUAAGCCCGGGAAACUGGGUCUAAUUCCCGAUAGGACUGCAGGGUGGUGCCUGUGGUGGAAAACGAUUUUCUAGUGGUUGGGGAUGAGCUCGCGGCCUAUCAGCUUGUUGGUGGGGUAAUGGCCUACCAAGGCGGCGACGGGUAGCCGGCCUGAGAGGGUGGACGGCCACAUUGGGACUGGGAUACGGCCCAGACUCCUACGGGAGGCAGCAGUGGGGAAUAGUGCACAAUGGGCGGAAGCCUGAUGCAGCGACGCCGCGUGGGGGAUGACGGCCUUCGGGUUGUAAACUCCUUUCGACCGCGAGGAAGCCACCUGGUUGGAAGGGUGGUGACGGUAGUGGUAGAAGAAGCACCGGCUAACUACGUG
rnacentral:rRNA from 1 species